rnacentral:rRNA from 1 species
AUGGAGAAAAGUGGUGUAAUGUGGGUAAAAAGGGGGCGACAAAAUGCUUUUAGGUCAGGAAGUUAUCAUGGCUCCUGAUUGCAUUGGUGAAGAAGUGCACAAAAUGGCCAAAGAGCUUAAGCCCGGCCAAGUGAUGUUGCUUGAAAAUGUUCGCUUCUAUGCCAAGGAAACCGAUAAUGACGAAGCUUUUGCCAAAGAGUUGGCUUCUUUAGCCGAUGUUUAUGUCAAUGACGCUUUCGGUUCCGCUCACCGUGCUCACGCUUCCACGACUGGUGUAGCUCACUUCCUUCCUUCUGCCGCUGGUUUGCUUAUGGAAAAAGAGCUUAACGAGUUGGGCAAGCUUUUAACUGCUGCUGAGUCUCCUUUCAUUGUUAUUUUAGGUGGCGCCAAAGUCUCCGAUAAGAUCGGCGUUAUGGAAAACCUGAUUGGCAAAGCUGACGCUAUUUUGGUCGGUGGCGGUAUGGCUUAUCCUUUCCUCAAAGUGCGUGGUAUGGAAAUCGGUCGCUCUCUUUGCGACGGUGACUUAUCUGUUCCUAAAUCUAUUUUGGACAAGGCUGAGGGCACCAAGACCAAGAUCGUUCUUCCUGUCGAUGUCGUUGUCGUAGAUGAAAUUGCUGAAAAUGCUCCUCAUGCCAACGUUGAUGUGACCGCUAUUCCCGCUGACAAGAUGGGUGUAGAUAUCGGUGCUAAGACAGUGGAAAACUUCAAAGAGAUCAUCAGCAAAGCUAAGACGAUCUUCUGGAAUGGCCCUGUUGGCGUAUUUGAGAAGAAACCUUUCGACUUCGGUACCCGUCAAAUUGCCGAAGCUGUGGCCGCUUCUGGCGCUCGCAGUGUAGUCGGCGGUGGAGAUUCCGUAGCCGCCGAAAGACAGAGGGACACUUUGGAAGCGUUGUUGCCGGGCGAUGGUCGCCCCGGUCGAAAGGGACCGAAGACAAGUAGGGAAGAACAGCGUGGACAGAGGCAAGAAAAGCUCUGUGAAUUAAAAGGCGCCCGUACCGCAAACCGACACAGGUAGUCAGGAAGAGAAUUCUAAGGCCAACGGGAGAAGGGUAGUUAAGGAACUCGGCAAAUUGACCCCGUAACUUCGGAAAAAGGGGUGCUCACGAAAGUGAGCCGCAGUGAAUAGGUCCAGGCGACUGUUUAUCAAAAACACAGGUCUCUGCUAAAUCGAAAGAUGACGUAUAGGGGCUGACACCUGCCCGGUGCUGGAAGGUUAAGAGGAGGAGUGAGAGCUCCGAAUUGAAGCCCCAGUAAACGGCGGCCGUAACUAUAACGGUCCUAAGGUAGCGAAAUUCCUUGUCGGGUAAGUUCCGACCCGCACGAAUGGUGUAACGAUCUGGACACUGUCUCAACUGCCCACCCGGCGAAAUUGUAGUACCGGUGAAGAUGCCGGUUACCCGCGGCAAGACGGAAAGACCCCAUGGAGCUUUACUGUAGCUUAGUAUUGGGUCUCGGUAUUUUAUGUACAGGAUAGGCGGGAGACUAGGAAGCAAGUACGCUAGUAUUUGUGGAGUCAUCCUUGGGAUACCGCUCUUAAAGUAUUGAGAUUCUAACCUGCGGCCAUGAAACUGGUCGGGGGACAUUGCUAGGUGGGCAGUUUGACUGGGGCGGUCGCCUCCAAAAGAGUAACGGAGGCGUUCAAAGGUCGGCUCAGCGCGGACGGAAACCGCGCAGAGAGUGCAAACGCAGAAGCCGGCCUAACUGUGAGACAGACACGUCGAGCAGUAACGAAAGUUGGAGUUAGUGAUCAGGUGGUAGUGAGUGGAAAUGCCAUCGCUUAACGGAUAAAAGCUACCCUGGGGAUAACAGGCUGAUCUCCCCCAAGAGUUCACAUCGACGGGGAGGUUUGGCACCUCGAUGUCGGCUCAUCACAUCCUGGGGCUUGGAGAAGGUCCCAAGGGUUCGGCUGUCCGCCGAUUAAAGUGGUACGCGAGCUGGGUUCAGAACGUCGUGAGACAGUUCGGUC